AUUGAACGCUGGCGGCAUGCCUUACACAUGCAAGUCGAACGGUAACAGGUUAAGCUGACGAGUGGCGAACGGGUGAGUAAUGUAUCGGAAUGUGCCCAGUCGUGGGGGAUAACUGCUCGAAAGAGCAGCGAAUACCGCAUACGUCCUGAGGGUGAAAGCGGGGGAUCGCAAGACCCCGCGCGAUUGGAGCGGCCGAUAUCAGAUUAGGUAGUUGGUGGGGUAAAGGCCUACCAAGCCUACGAUCUGUAGCUGGUCUGAGAGGACGACCAGCCACACUGGGACUGAGACACGGCCCAGACUCCUACGGGAGGCAGCAGUGGGGAAUUUUGGACAAUGGACGCAAGUCUGAUCCAGCCAUGCCGCGUGUGUGAAGAAGGUCUUCGGAUUGUAAAGCACUUUAAGUCGGGAGGAAGGGUUGCAGGUUAAUACCUUGCAGCCUUGACGUUACCGACAGAAUAAGCACCGGCUAACUUCGUGCCAGCAGCCGCGGUAACAC
rnacentral:rRNA from 1 species